rnacentral:rRNA from 1 species
UUGUCUCAAAGAUUAAGCCAUGCAUGUCUAAGUAUAAGCAACUAUACGGUGAAACUGCGAAUGGCUCAUUAAAUCAGUUAUCGUUUAUUUGAUAGUACCUUACUACUUGGAUAACCGUGGUAAUUCUAGAGCUAAUACAUGCUAAAAGGCCCGACUUCGGAAGGGUCGUAUUUAUUAGAUAAAAAACCAAUGCCCUUCGGGGCUCCUUGGUGAUUCAUAAUAACUUAACGAAUCGCAUGGCCUUGUGCCGGCGAUGGUUCAUUCAAAUUUCUGCCCUAUCAACUUUCGAUGGUAGGAUAGUGGCCUACCAUGGUUUCAACGGGUAACGGGGAAUUAGGGUUCUAUUCCGGAGAGGGAGCCUGAGAAACGGCUACCACAUCCAAGGAAGGCAGCAGGCGCGCAAAUUACCCAAUCCCGACACGGGGAGGUAGUGACAAUAAAUACUGAUACAGGGCUCUUUUGGGUCUUGUAAUUGGAAUGAGUACAAUUUAAAUCCCUUAACGAGGAACAAUUGGAGGGCAAGUCUG